GACGAACCGUGCAAACGUUGUUCGGAAUCACUGGGCUUAAAGGGCGCGUAGGCGGGCGACCAAGUCAGAGGUGAAAGCCCACGGCUCAACCGUGGAAGUGCCCCUGAUACUGGUUGUCUUGAGGGAGAUAGGGGCGUGCGGAACUUCCGGUGGAGCGGUGAAAUGCGUAGAUAUCGGAAGGAACGCCGGUGGCGAAAGCGGCGCGCUGGACCCUUUCUGACGCUGAUGCGCGAAAGCCAGGGGAGCAAACGGG
rnacentral:rRNA from 1 species